AAUUAGUAAAUAUUUUGUUUGAAGAUUUUUUUCAGAUCAUUCUAAAUAAAAAUUAAAAUAAAACAAACAACGAGAAAGUUUGUUGUAGCGGCCGUACGACUCCUUUGCCGUCUCCGCAGUCGCCGACGGUUCCCUCGAGCUGUGGGAGGCCUCGCUGCCGUCUUCCGCCAACCCGGUCUGCUCCUUACGAGAGCACUUACGCAAGGCCCACGAGGUGGACUGGAAUCCCGUCCGCCGCGACUCCUUCCUCUCCGCCUUUUGGGAUGGCGCCGUGAGCUCUCCUACUGCGGUCUACGCCGGUGCACGAAGCCCCCGCCACGCCGAUGUCUUCGCUUCCGCCUCUAGCGAGUACUCCGAGUACUGCCCUAAUCGUGAGGUUCGUUGCUGAUUUGUGAAGCUUAAUAGAAGAUAAUAAAAGGGAUGAAGACGAGGCCAUCACCAACCACAUUAGUUACAGAUUUGAAUCAUGGAAGGUCCUUUGUUGAGCUACAUGAGGAAAGAUCCAUUUUUGUGGUAUGUUGGCCCUUUAUGGAGUUAUAUGAAGAAAGAUCCAUGGUUGCCGCCAUAUACCCUGUUUUCGUAUGACAUUGUAAAUUCUUGUUUUUCCUUGGUUAAUAGCAAAUCUAUGGAAGUAUUGUAUAUGUAUGAUGUUGUAGUUAGGAAUGCUUACUGGUUUAACUAUUUCAAGGUUUUGUCAAUUUAUAAUGACCCAUCUGAAUCCUUUGGUUUAUAUGUUCUCUAAAUUUUUUUGCAGCAAUUAGAUUUGUGAUACUAUAUGGAAGUUUCAGUUGAUUCUCAUCACUAUUUGGUUCAGUAUUUGCAUAUGGAAUACCAUAUUAGUUAUUCAGAACUUCCUCUGUCCAAUCCAGAAUAGCAUGAAUCCUCAGUCAUCCUCUGCUCCAUUAAUUUCAUUCAUAAUUUUGAUGUUGGUUUAGGCAUUUUGUAAUAUUUUCCGUUUUGUGUGAUAAUUAGACAAUUUGUUCUGUUUUGUUGCUCACCAAAAUAUCAGCUGUAUUAAACAAUUUCAAGGGUUGACAUAUUCACCAGAUUUAGAUCGUUUUGUUAUUUUCUUUUGACUUAAAGUGAUUAUUUAAUGAUGUUAUAUAUUGAGAUUGAAUCGUGGAAAGGAAUGUUGUCACUUGGAUGUCCAAAUUCUUGUUGUCAUGUACAAUGUCAUUUCUUAUAACUCAUUAUCCAUGUACUUGGUCAUCUACAAUAUUCUUAACUAUUUUCUACUGUGUCAUAGAUGAUCGUCGCAUACCCGCAACACUAUCGUCAACGAACUGUUCAUCACUUAUGUUUGCUUGUGCAGUUGUUUGGCAUUGUGUUUUGCCUUAUUUUUAUAUGUUUUUCCUUAGCUUUUGUAAGCCUAGGCAGUGCACAGGGCUGCACAGCAACCGCUCACCGAACAAGGCAAAACUGAGCCAAAACUACCGAAUCUCUCAAGCCUUUGGUAUAGUGCAAAACAUCACUCAUCCCAGCCCCUUGGGACCCCGUGUGACACAAAGCUAGAUGGGGCUUUGGGGUAAUGUUGGGUCUUGUUUGGAUUCACAAACUUGUACUCAAAAUAUGCAUAUUGUUGCCUAACACUCCAACACCAGUUCAAUGGUCGUUGUGGUCUUGCAACUGUCUUUUUUCCUUCCAAAGUCCUUGUUUUCUGUCUGCACUCGAACUAUAUGCUAAAUUGCUUGAGUAUUGUAUUUCUGAGCGAGAUGUCGAGACUGACAUAUCGCUCAUCUUUGAAACUAACCAACCUUUUCUUGUUUGAUAGAUCCUUUUGGGACUUGUGCGAGGUUGUACUUAAGUUGUCCCUUUGCGGAUGACCGUUGCAAGUGUGCCUCACAACCAUUCUUAACUAUUUUCUACUAUGGUUAGGAAUUUCUUUCUGUAGCUAUAAGAAAAUUAUCAAUCUAAUGCCAACUAAAAGUCAUUUUUGCUUUAUGUUGAAUUUGGGCAGCAGAUUAUUGUAUCCUUUAUCACGUGAUUGACAAAUCAGUGAAAGCUAUUAUUUGGUCUUAAGUUUUGGCAUGUUUUCUUUCGUGAUGAAUAUUGUAUCAUUUGGCGACAUAGUAGGUUGCAACAUGUGCUUUUUAAUGUUGGAUUAGUUUAUGAAUCUGAGCUGUCUUCUUCAUAAACAUCGUCCAUCACCUAUAGCUCGAGUAGUACCUUUAUUAUCAUGAUUGACGUAUGUACUAGAUUCUCCCCUUUUUUCUGUAAUGAGGCCUAUGGAAUAACUGUGAAAUAGUUAAACCUACCUUAAUGAUGUUUCUCCUUUCACCUCAUGACUAUGUUUAGUCGAAAGAUAUCCACUGAGACAAUUGAAACAUUUGCAAUGAGUUCCUUUGUGUUUAGAUCCAUGGUUGUAACCGUAAAAGAAAAGUCAUUCAUUGCUGUCUAUGCUGAAGGCAGUCAUAUAUGUCCAUGUUCUUCCAUUUGCUUUCUUGCUUUUUUGUGCAUCAACAAGAAAAAUCUUUGCAACAUUAACAUGUGAAACUUCUUCCUGGUAUUUUACAGCAGUAUUGGUCAUCUUGCGUUUAGCCAAAACAUACCCAACAACUGGUCUGGAUCAUACUGCUAUAACUCAUCUUGGUUAGAGUGUUAAUAGCUGAUGCUGAAGAGAUUGACACACUCCCAUUACAUUACUUCUGCUUCAUGCCUUGCAUAACUGAGAAACUUGCUAGAGACCUGCACUUAUUGCUGCCACCUGGUCCCAACAAUAUGGUCCAACUGUUUCCAUCUUGCUAAAAAGCUAUCUUAUUUGUGCAGCUUCUAACGGGACAUGAACUUCCACUUUCCUUUGUGCUGCUGCUGCUGCUGAACAAAUCCAAGUUGCAUGGUUAAACUGAUGACUCCGUGCCCGACUGGAAAGCACGAAGGUCACAGGACAAGUUUCAUUGCUGUCCUUUUCUCAAGGUACUGCCAUGAAUUUCUUUGGUGAUAAGAAAGAGAACAGUAGAUGGGGCACUCUAUCAUGCUGCGGACGAGUACAUGAUGGACCGAUCAAAGUAAAUGCCAAGGGAGGGGAGACGUGGUGCCGUUCAAGUCUCAGUGAAAAGGACUGACUUGGCCUUUCCAUCUAAGACUCUAAUCGCCCCCACCCUCCUCUUCAUGUGGUGGAGGGUACGUUUUCUUAGGAGAAUGGAGGGGGCCAUUCUUAUCCAAAGCUUAAAGCUCCCCUUCCACUUUGCCAAAGCCUUGAUUGAGGCCUUCCCAUAGGUUGGUCACUUUGUUGCUGGCCAUAUGCUGUCAUUCAUCAAGUAUAUGAAUAGGAACUAUUUUAACACUCUUUUCCUACUUCACCAACAUAUUCCCAGAGGACAUCCAGUGGUUACUGCA